GCUACGGGAGGCAGCAGUGAGGAAUAUUGGUCAAUGGGCGCGAGCCUGAACCAGCCAAGUAGCGUGAAGGAUGACUGCACUACGGGUUGUAAACUUCUUUUAUAAAGGAAUAAAGUGAGGCACGUGUGCCUUUUUGUAUGUACUUUAUGAAUAAGGAGCGGCUAACUCCGGGUCAACAGCCGCGGUAAUACGGAGGUUCCGAGCUUUAACCGGAUUUAUUGGGUUUAAAGGGAGCGUAGAUGGGUUGUUAAGGCAGUUGUGAUAGUUUGCGGCUCAACCGUAAAAGUGCAAGUGAUACUGGCAGUCUUGAGUACAGUUGAGGUAGGCGGAAUUCGUGGUGUAGCGGUGAAAUG
rnacentral:rRNA from 1 species